GCCUACGGCCAUGCCACCCUGAACACGCCCGAUCACAUCUGAUCUUGGAAGCUAAGCAGGGUCGGGCCUGGUUAGAACUUGGAUGGGAGACUGCCUGGGAAUACGAGGGAUACCUAUAUAUU
rnacentral:rRNA from 1 species